rnacentral:rRNA from 1 species
UACGGAGGGUGCAAGCGUUAUCCGGAUUCACUGGGUUUAAAGGGUGCGUAGGCGGGUAUAUAAGUCAGUGGUGAAAGCUCCGGGCUUAACUUGGAAACUGCCAUUGAUACUGUAUAUCUUGAAUAUCGUAGAGGUUAGCGGAAUGUUGCAUGUAGCGGUGAAAUGCUUAGAUAUGUUACAGAACACCAAUUGCGAAGGCAGCUAACUAUGCGAUGAUUGACGCUGAGGCACGAAAGCGUGGGGAGCAAAC